rnacentral:lncRNA from 1 species
GCGGCCUGGGUCUCGGAGGGCGGCGGCCCGUGCUCCGCUUUCUCCCGAGGGGCUGCGCUUCGGCCUUUGUGGGGCGGGGGCGUCCCGGCGGCUGGGGCAGGAUGGGGGGGCCGCUGACGUCCGCGAGGGCGGGGCGCGCUUGUUUUCGCGGCCGCGGGCGUUUGGCCGGAGGUUCGGGGCGGGCGGGCGAGCGAGCGAGCGAGCGAGCGGCCGCGGCGUUAGGCCUGGAGGGGCCGCUUGUGGGCUCCCGGUGCGAGCAUCUCCCGACGGACCCGAGCUCCGGGCCGCCGCACGCGCCGGCCCUGGCCGGCUUUUUGUUUUCGUCCUUCCUCGCCCGCGCGCCCGCCGUGCUCAGGGAAGCGCCCGGCUCGCCUCGGCUCGGCUCGGCUCGGCUGCGGAGCUGCGCCUCCCCGGGAUCCGAGGCGCGGCGGGGCCCACGGAGACCGGGGCCGGGUAUUGUGUCCAGGAGGCCAGAAGAGGGCAUCAGAGCCCCCAAAGCCGGAAUAAAAAGCCCUGGCUGUUCUUGAACUCUGUAGACCAGGCUGGCUCUUAAACACACAGAGAUCCAUCUGCCUCUGCUUCCUGAGUUCUGGGAUUAAAGCAAAAGAUAACAGUUUUCA